UACAGAGGUCCCAAGCGUUGUUCGGAUUUACUGGGCGUAAAGGGCUCGUAGGCGGCCAACUAAGUCAGACGUGAAAUCCCCAGGCUCAACCUGGGAACUGCGUCUGAUACUGGAUGGCUUGAGGUUGGGAGAGGGAUGCGGAAUUCCAGGUGUAGCGGUGAAAUGCGUAGAUAUCUGGAGGAAUACCGAUGGCGAAGGCAGGUCUCUGGGCUAUAACUGACGCUCAUGCACGAAAGCGUGGGGAGCAAACAGG
rnacentral:rRNA from 1 species